GACGUGGUGGCCCCCUUGCGGUUUCCUUUCGCCGUUUCCGAACCGAGGAAUUGCUACUCGCCUUUGGCUUGGCGGUCUCUGUGCUCGGGGGUCCGAAAACUGCUGGAAGGCCCCCGGUCUCUGGAGGGGAGCAGGCGGUAGCGAGUUUAGUGACGUGGAGCAGGCGCAGAACAGUCGGAGAUACAGUCUCGCUGUGAUGCCCAGGCUGGAGUGCAAUGGCGUGAUUUUGGCUCACUGUAACCUCUCCCACCCAGGUUCAAGUGAUUCUCCUGCCUCAGCCUCCCGAGCAGCUGGGAUUACAGGUGCCUGCUACCACACCCGGAAUCCUGGGCAUUCCCUUGCCCCGGAAACGCCGUGUCCAGGCCGACCUAAGCCAGGAGCCGCAGGGGCGGGAAGCCGGGGGCAGGGCCGGGCCUGGGACGCCGCCUCAGGAGCCGCGCGGACUCGGGAACCUCGGGCGGGGCCGGCGUGAGUGCGCCCGGCACCUCCGGCUGCUACGGUGGCGACCGCGAACUGAUGCCGUGGAAAACACCCUUAGAACAUGGCUUUUGGGGGAGGUGAAUAGGGGAGAGUCCCCAAACGACACCUCGCCGCGCACCGGUCCUUGGUGCAGUUUGUAAAUGUCCCUCCUGUGUCCCAAAACGAAAACACUCCUAUAUUUUCUAGCGCCUUCCAGAAUGGGGCAGCGGAAACUAGUGUUGGGACAAAGGAGGCGAGCGGGGCCUUUUCGGGGCUCACAGAGGACCCCUCGGAGGCGCGGCCGCCGGGGAGAGCGCGACAGCACCCCGCCCCCCGCCAGCCGGGCGGGGGCCGCUCCCGAGGUGACAGGA
rnacentral:sRNA from 1 species